rfam:Yokenella regensburgei ATCC 43003 genomic scaffold Scfld129, whole genome shotgun sequence.
AUUUCUCUGAGAUGUUCGCAAGCGGGCCAGUCCCCUGAGCCGAUAUUUCAUACCACAAGAAUGUGGCGCUCCACGAUUGGUGAGCAUGCUCGGUCCGUCCGAGAAGCCUUAAAAUUGUGACGACGCAUUCACCUUGAACCAAGGGUUCAAGGGUUACAGCCUGCGGCGGCAUCUCGGAGAUUCC